GAUGAAGAACGUAGCGAAAUGCGAUAAGUAAUGUGAAUUGCAGAAUUCAGUGAAUCAUCGAAUCUUUGAACGCACAUUGCGCCCCUUGGUAUUCCGAGGGGCAUGCCUGUUCGAGCGUCAUUAUAACCCCUCAAGCUCAGCUUGGUGUUGGGGCCUGCUGCACUGGCAGCCCUUAAAAUCAGUGGCGGCGCCAUCUGGCUCUAAGCGUAGUAAUUCUUUUCGCUAUGGAGUCCUGGUGGAUGCUUGCCAUCAACCCCCAAUUUUUCUAUGGUUGACCUCGGAUCAGGUAGGGAUACCCGCUGAACUUAAGCAUAUCAAUAAGCGGAGGA
rnacentral:misc_RNA from 1 species